GUUACCCAGUGACCACUGGAGAAAUAAUGAGAUAACAACGGGAAAAAUUGUAGCUUCUGUGCAAACUUCAAGUCCCAAGAACCAGUUUGCUUUGAAUGCACAGCGUCUGGCACUCUACAAGUGUGAACUGAAUGGUUGAAUGAAUGGACUAAUGAGAACACCGAGACCCUGAAGAAGGACAGAAAAAAAAUGACCUUCAGUUUGGAAUAAGGAAUCUCACAUUAAAUAUGAGAAGAAUUAGAUGGGACAGUCUUAGACAUACAACCCACUUUUUUGAUUCUAUGCUUUGAAAUAGAAUUAUGUCAGUGUAGCCUUAAUUUCAGCUGCUGGUACCUUAUCAUGGGAGAUCAAGAAGAAUCAACACGAUUUUGAGUGAAUGGAAAGGAAAGAAUGAGAGAAACAGUUCCCUGAUUGAACAAAAAUAAAAUUAUCAGAAUACUGGGAUAGCCACAGUUAGAGAGAAUAUUGCUUCUCAAAAUGUGCAGUGGACAACAGCCAUUAUAAACAUUGCUUCUAGAAGAGAAGUUUCCAGGAAACAUCCUUUGCAUCAGCCCAUUCAUACUUCAAGUACCCCCACACAAUAUGAUGAGGUGGGAGUGAAUGAGGACUCAGAGGGACCAUUUUGAAUUGGGAUUUCUAAGAAAAGGUUUUCUUCACAAAAUGGAUGCUGGUAAAGCUGGAACUGGAACCUAGAUCUGCUGUUCACUAAGUGAUGGGAAGAAAUCUCCUGAUUGGUGUUACUGUUCAAAUUUUAGGCAGUAAUAGUCAGGGGGCAACAUGAAGGUAACUGUACGAUGCCAUGGUACAAACGGAGCUCAGCCUGAUAAUCAACUCAAGAAUAAAGAAAGCUAAUUUUGCAUUUUCAAGACUCUAGCUGAUCUCUAGCCCUGUGGCUACUGCAGCAAAUUUCCUGAAAUCACCUGUUGGUCACCCUUUGCCUCAUUAAAUGACUGUAGAUUAAUAAGCAUGCGGAAUCAGGAGACAGUUCUGUCCUAGGGAAGGCAAAUUGCAGUCCAACUUCAAAGCAACACACCUGACCUCAUAUAAAAGUGUUCUAGCUUAUUACUUUGCACGACUGUGUGUUUCAAUUUAUUACACUGAUGACUUACCUUGUACUACUCUGUGUUCAAUUAUGUAUUUCCUGUUCUCAUUACAGACCUUCAAACGACCGCAAAAACAUAUUCAUUUAAUGCUUUUUCUGUUCUUUUAAAAUUUUUAUCACUCAGAAAAGAGGAAGAAAAUGGUUUGAGCAUUAGCACUGGGUAUAAACUCAGACCGAGUCUAUGUACUUAAAUUACUCUGAUAAUUGGAGCAAAGAAACUCUUUUACCUGAAAUAUCUGAAGAGCAGCUAGGAAAGUAUAGUUGGGGGAGUCUUAACUAUUCAGAUAUUUUGCAUAAAAUAGCGCAUCUACUAUGUAACUUAAUACAAAGAAAGCAGAAUAAUGUAAAACUCUUGGGGGCCCAAAGAGACCCGUGUACCAGCUGGGGUUUUGGAAAAAGAUGGGGACAAUGUGUUUUAGUUGAGAGUCUUCCAUUUACUAAUUUCAUGCUUUGGGGGAAUCUUAAUUUGGGAGAAAAAAAAGGUUACCUGUGUAAUGGCUCCUCAUUCUUAAAUUCUGUGGCUAUUUUUAUAUGAAAAGCCAAAAUCAAUCCAAGCUAAAAUAACUAAUAAAAUAUA